GACGAACGCUGGCGGCGUGCUUAACACAUGCAAGUCGAACGAUGACGACCGAGCUUGCUCGGUCUGAUUAGUGGCGAACGGGUGAGUAACACGUGAGCAACCUGCCCUUCACUCUGGGAUAACCUCGGGAAAUCGGGGCUAAUACCGGAUAUGAGCUCCUGUCGCAUGGCGGGUGUUGGAAAGUUUUUCGGUGAAGGAUGGGCUCGCGGCCUAUCAGUUUGUUGGUGCGGUAGUGGCUCACCAAGGCGAUGACGGGUAGCCGGCCUGAGAGGGCGACCGGCCACACUGGGACUGAGACACGGCCCAGACUCCUACGGGAGGCAGCAGUGGGGAAUAUUGCACAAUGGGCGAAAGCCUGAUGCAGCGACGCCGCGUGAGGGAUGACGGCCUUCGGGUUGUAAACCUCUUUCAGCAGGGAAGAAGCGAAAGUGACGGUACCUGCAGAAGAAGCGCCGGCUAACUACGUG
rnacentral:rRNA from 1 species